GAUUGAACGCUGGCGGCAUGCCUUACACAUGCAAGUCGAACGGCAGCACGGGAGCAAUCCUGGUGGCGAGUGGCGAACGGGUGAGUAAUAUAUCGGAACGUGCCCAGUCUGGGGGAUAACGUAGCGAAAGCUACGCUAAUACCGCAUACGAUCUAUGGAUGAAANCGGGGGAUCGCAAGACCUCGCGCGAUUGGAGCGGCCGAUAUCAGAUUAGGUAGUUGGUGAGGUAAAGGCUCACCAAGCCGACGAUCUGUAGCUGGUCUGAGAGGACGACCAGCCACACUGGGACUGAGACACGGCCCAGACUCCUACGGGAGGCAGCAGUGGGGAAUUUUGGACAAUGGGCGCAAGCCUGAUCCAGCAAUGCCGCGUGCAGGAUGAAGGCCUUCGGGUUGUAAACUGCUUUUGUACGGAACGAAACGGUGAGCUCUAAUACAGUUUGCUAAUGACGGUACCGUAAGAAUAAGCACCGGCUAACUACGUG
rnacentral:rRNA from 1 species